UAGGAGAAAAUCUUAAGAAAUUUUUAAUACUAAGUCACUUUUCAAAAAGAAACUUAUUUAAGAGUUCGAUGAAUAUUUCCUAACUUUUCACCCUAAUAUCGCAUCAGCUUAACAAAGUUAGCAUUACCUACAAUGGAGAACAGCAGUUUAAAUGAACAGUUAAUUUGCACACGCAAUAAACAGUUUAAUUUGCACGUGCAAUAAAAUUCCGUUCGAAUUAAAACUUAAAAUUAAAGAAACUUUUAAGAAACUCAAUAUUCUAAAAUAUCGUUAGAGAACUUAUCAAAAAACUAUAAUGAAACUGAAGGAGAAAGAAAAAAUUCAAAUGUGUUUUGGUCUGGUGAUUUUGGAUAAACUAAAGAUAAACUUUAUAAAGACAAACUGCAUCUUAAGUGUCGUUUUUUUACAAGAAUGAACUGCAAAGGCAGAGCUUUUAUUCAUGAAGAUAAACUUCAGGUUACAACUGUUCACAGUUGCAGUUCAAGAGAAACAGACUUUGAAGUGAUGCUUGCUAAAAGUACCAUGAAGAAAAAAGCAGAAGCAACAUCUGAAGACCUGCGUUUAAUUUUUCAAAACACUUUGAGUGAGUUUUCUGCAGUUGUUUCUAAAUCUGUUAGUUUUCGUCAAAUUAUCCCAAGUCUUCAGAAAAGGAGAAGGCUAAAUGAGCCUUCAAACCCAAAAUCACCUAAUGAAGCUGCUGAGGUUCUGAAUGACAAAGAGUCCCAUCGCUAUGGAGACAUUUUCUUGGGAUCAGUUGCAGAAAAGGAUAACGUAGCAUUGCUGUUUGGGCAUAUGCUAGUCAUCAACAAGGCGAAAUCGGUCAAAGUGUGUUUUGUUGAUAAAACAUUUAGGUAUUUAUACGUAUGCAUUUAACUUUUUCAAAAAAUAUUUAUAUAUUUAUACAUAUAUUUAUCUAGGGGGCUGUCCAUUAAUUACAUCAACAAACUUUUGGGUAUUUUUACAUUACCCCCUCCCCCAUGUCAACAACUUGUUAAAUUUCCAGAGACACUUCUUUCCCCUAUAAAGUUAUGUCAAUUUUUGAUAACCCUUCUCCCCUAAAUAAAGACGCUGCGCUAAAAAUGCAGGCAAAUUUUUCUUUUUUUGAGUAACGAAAUUAAAAAAAAUAAAGAAAUAUUGUUGAUGUCAACUUUACUUGACCUCCUCCCCUCACCCUUAGCAAAAAUUUUCAAAAAAAUUUAGACACCUUUUUCCUUAUUUUUUUAACAUUAUUAAUGGACAGCCCGUAGACGAAAAAAGUGAUAUAUUAAAAACGUUAGGUAGAACACUUUUAUUUACAGUUGUAAAUUAUAGUUACAUUUAUUGUACUUCCAGCAUGACACCACGCAUGAAGGAAAGUAAGUGGUAUCAGCUCUUGAUAUUUUCUGUUGAGUAUUCAGCAGUACUUGAAGAUCCAAUUCCAGAUGAGGAUAAGAUGAAUUUUGAUCCUGAAAACCCUCACCUUUGGGGAAUAUCUGUUCCAGCUGUAUGCGCUUUAAUGACAUCGAAAUCCGAGGCUCUAUACAAGCUUGUUUUUUCCAAAAUAAAAGAAGUUUUAGAUUUCUCUCGAGUCACCAUUAUGUCAGAUUUUGAACGAGGACUACAGAAUGCUUUAAAAACAACUUGGAGUGAAAGCUUGGUGAAUGGUUGCAGGUAUAAGUUAUUACUUUGUUAUUACUUAGUUUCCAGUCUCUAAGUUAUCCAAGUUUUUCAGAGUUGGUUAUCAUUUAAUGAUCUCCUUUAAACCCUUAUCUUUAAGUUUCAUUUCGAAAAUGCAAUCACCAAGCAAUUAGCAGUUCUUGGUCUUCAGAGGGAAUACCGCCACCAAAUUCAAGUAAAGAAGUGGGCACGAAAAGUUUCAGCACUUUGUCUCCUUCCUGCAAACAAGAUCUUGGUUGCUUGGGGAUCUCGAGUUAUUGAGAUUGCACAAUUUAGUCGCGAAAUCAAAAUCAAACUACUUGCUUUUAAAAGGUAUUUUGAGAGUUAUUAGCUCAAUAUAGUGACCCCAGAAGGAUUCAGUGUUUAUGGCUUGAACCACAAAACCAAUAACAAUGCAGAGAGUCUCAAUAGAUGUUUGAAAUCAAAUAUGGGUGAUCAACAUAGAGGAUUUUAACAGUUUAUGAAAUUGCUUAACCAGCAUGUAAUGGUCCAUACAAUUCAAGAGCUUCAACAGCUUGCCUGCAAUCAGCCAGUCCGCCAUGACCAACGCGACUAUGGUGCAAUUGAAAAAAUGCGUUGUUUUGAGAAAAAACUUCGAGAUGGAGUUUGGACAACUGAGAGGUUCCUAUCAACAGUAUCAUAUCUCUUUCAAAACUUCAAAGUAGUUGCUUUGAAUGAAAACUCAAUGAACGAGGUUGGUGAGAGUUCCUUUGCCAACUUCUACUUCAACAGAGUCACUGAAGUGCGUUGUUUGUACCGUCAAUGAAUGAAAUGUAUUAGUAAUGCCUUGCAGACAUUUUUUGUUUUGUCAGCCCUGCAUUCAACAAGUCCAACAAAGCAACACAGCUCAUUGUCCCACUUGCCGAGGACCAAUAUCAUCUAUAAUUGAACCUUUUCAAUGAUUCAGUAAAAUUUUCCUUUUUACCUAUAUUUUAAAAACUAGAAUGUCACACAAUUGUUUAAA